AUGCGGCCGCUCCAAGAGCGGGGAACUCACCCAGGAGGCUGGUCCAGGGGCCGCAGGGCCGCGCACGCCUCCCCGCGGGGUCCCCGGGGCUCACGUGACGCCGGAAGUGGCCGCCGCUGCGCAUGCGCCCGGGGGGGGGGUCUCAGCGGCACGUGCGCACACGGGCUGCGCCCUGAAGAUGACUGCCGCGUGGGGUCUGAGGGCGCGGUGUCCAGUGUGAGGCGGCGGAGGGGACAUGGCAGACACUGUCAAACGCACAUAGUGAACUUCUUGCAGCUGAGCCAUGUCUCCAUCUCACUUAUUAUCCCAUUUCUUCACUUGGCAUCCACAAAUACAACCCCUCACCCUCUGGGAGAGCCUGUGUGUAGAAGAGUAGUCUGCAGUGGAACAAUUAAUUCUGGGCUAGAACAAACAUUUCAGAAGAGAAGAGCCCUUCCGUAUGCUUCUCAAAUCAGACCCUUGGCACACAGCUAAUUCUUCAACCUGUGACUAAGGUUAAAGGUGUGACAGAUUCAAAAUUCUACAUUCCAAGGAAUAUGAAAGUGAAGGAACCAGUUAGUUAGAAAGCAGCAACCAAUGGAAGGACCUAGAGUUAGAAGUAUGGCAAGCUGAGAACCUUGUGAAAGUCAAAGCUAUCAUGGACUGAAAACACUGAGUUAGCAGACAGAGCUGAUUAGAAGAGAGAAGAGAUUUCAACUCAGAAAAAAAAAUUCAGAUACACAAUGAGAAGUUACUGGACAACCUGUACAGCUACUUGGGUUCCUGAUACUUUUCUGUUGCUAUUUAUUCUGUCAAUAAAAAUCUCCAUUACUUAAA
rnacentral:lncRNA from 12 species